rnacentral:pre_miRNA from 1 species
GUAGUACUCCCUCCGUCCCAAAAUUCUUGUCUUAAAUUUGUCUAAGUACGGAUGUAUCAAGUCACGUUUUAGUAUUAGAUACAUCCGUAUCUAGACAAAUCUAAGACAAGAAUUUUAGGACGGAGGGAGUAUAUA